GAGUGGCCGAAGGUGAACGCUUGGAAAGCGUUUGUACCCUAACCGGGUACCGAGGGUUCGAAUCCCUCCCUCUCCGUUUUUGCCCCUUCAGUGAUGAAGCCCGGGCCCUGUGCACGUCGUUUUCACCCAACCCCGUCAGGUCCGGAAGGAAGCAGCGGUAAGUGACAAACGGCGGUGCCGCAGACCGCUUGGGUGGAGCUGGAGGGGUUUUUUUUACCGCCAGGGGAUAACCGAUC
rnacentral:misc_RNA from 1 species